rnacentral:rRNA from 1 species
AGCGAACGCUGGCGGCAGGCUUAACACAUGCAAGUCGAGCGGGCAUCCUUGUGGUGUCAGCGGCAGACGGGUGAGUAACGCGUGGGAACGUGCCCUUCGGUUCGGAAUAACUCAGGGAAACUGGAGCUAAUACCGGAUACGCCCUUUUGGGGAAAGGCUUGCUGCCGAAGGAUCGGCCCGCGUCUGAUUAGCUGGUUGGUGAGGUUAUGGCUCACCAAGGCGACGAUCAGUAGCUGGUCUGAGAGGAUGAUCAGCCACACUGGGACUGAGACACGGCCCAGACUCCUACGGGAGGCAGCAGUGGGGAAUAUUGGACAAUGGGGGCAACCCUGAUCCAGCCAUGCCGCGUGAGUGAUGACGGCCUUAGGGUUGUAAAGCUCUUUUCUCCGGGACGAUAAUGACGGUACCGGAGGAAUAAGCCCCGGCUAACUUCGUGCCAGCCGCCGCGGUAAUAC